UACGUAGGGUGCAAGCGUUGUCCGGAAUUAUUGGGCGUAAAGAGCUCGUAGGCGGUUUGUCGCGUCUGCUGUGAAAACCCGAGGCUCAACCUCGGGCCUGCAGUGGGUACGGGCAGACUAGAGUGCGGUAGGGGAGAUUGGAAUUCCUGGUGUAGCGGUGGAAUGCGCAGAUAUCAGGAGAAACACCAAUGGCGAAGGCAGAUCUCUGGGCCGUAACUGACGCUGAGGAGCGAAAGCAUGGGGAGCGAACAGG
rnacentral:rRNA from 1 species